rnacentral:tRNA from 1 species
GCCGCGGUGGUGGAAUUGGUAGACACGCCAGAUUUAGGAUCUGGUGCCCAUCGGGUGUGAAGGUUCGACUCCUUUCCGCGGCACAA